GUAGUCAUAUGCUUGUCUCAAAGAUUAAGCCAUGCAUGUCUAAGUAUAAGCAAUCUAUACCGUGAAACUGCGAAUGGCUCAUUAAAUCAGUUAUCGUUUAUUUGAUAGUACCUUACUACUUGGAUAACCGUGGUAAUUCUAGAGCUAAUACAUGCUAAAAACCUCGACUUCGGAAGGGGUGUAUUUAUUAGAUAAAAAACCAAUGCCCUUCGGGGCUCCUUGGUGAUUCAUAAUAACUUAACGAAUCGCAUGGCCUUGUGCCGGCGAUGGUUCAUUCAAAUUUCUGCCCUAUCAACUUUCGAUGGUAGCGUAGUGGGCUACCAUGGUUUCAACGGGUAACGGGGAAUUAGGGUUCUAUUCCGGAGAGGGAGCCUGAGAAACGGCUACCACAUCCAAGGAAGGCAGCAGGCGCGCAAAUUACCCAAUCCCGACACGGGGAGGUAGUGACAAUAAAUACUGAUACAGGGCUCUUUUGGGUCUUGUAAUUGGAAUGAGUACAAUUUAAAUCCCUUAACGAGGAACAAUUGGAGGGCAAGUCUGGUGCCAGCAGCCGCGGUAAUUCCAGCUCCAAUAGCGUAUAUUAAAGUUGUUGCAGUUAAAAAGCUCGUAGUUGAACCUUGGGCCUGGCUGGCCGGUCCGCCUCACCGCGUGCACUGGUCCGGCCGGGUCUUUCCUUCUGAGGAGCCGCAUGCCCUUCACUGGGUGUGUCGGGGAAUCAGGACUUUUACUUUGAAAAAAUUAGAGUGUUCAAAGCAGGCCUAUGCUCGAAUACAUUAGCAUGGAAUAAUAGAAUAGGACGUGUGGUUCUAUUUUGUUGGUUUCUAGGACCGCCGUAAUGAUUAAUAGGGAUAGUCGGGGGCAUCAGUAUUCAAUUGUCAGAGGUGAAAUUCUUGGAUUUAUUGAAGACUAACUACUGCGAAAGCAUUUGCCAAGGAUGUUUUCAUUAAUCAGUGAACGAAAGUUAGGGGAUCGAAGACGAUCAGAUACCGUCGUAGUCUUAACCAUAAACUAUGCCGACUAGGGAUCGGGCGAUGUUAUCUUUUUGACUCGCUCGGCACCUUACGAGAAAUCAAAGU
rnacentral:rRNA from 1 species